rnacentral:misc_RNA from 1 species
GAUGAAGAACGUAGCGAAAUGCGAUAAGUAAUGUGAAUUGCAGAAUUCAGUGAAUCAUCGAAUCUUUGAACGCACAUUGCGCCCGCCAGUAUUCUGGCGGGCAUGCCUGUCCGAGCGUCAUUUCAACCAUCAAGCCCCCGGGCUUGUGUUGGGGACCUGCGGCUGCCCGCAGGCCCCGAAAUUCAGUGGCGGGCUCGCUGUCCACACCGAGCGUAGUAGCAUCACCUCGCUCAGGGCGUGCGGCGGGUACCGGCCGUUAAAUGGCUUCGUCCAACCCCCCCCAAAGGUUGACCUAGGAUCAGGUAGGAAGACCCGCUGAACUUAAGCAUAUCAAUAAGCGGAGGA